rnacentral:rRNA from 1 species
UACGGAGGGUGCAAGCAUUAAUCGGAUUUAUUGGGCGUAAAGGGCGCGUAGGCGGGAAUGAAAGUUGGAUGUGAAAUCCCGAGGCUCAACCUCGGACCCGCAUCCAAUACUUUAUUUCUGGAGGAUGAGCGGAGAAAAUGGAAUUCCACAUGUAGCGGUGAAAUGCGUAGAUAUGUGGAGGAACACCGGUGGCGAAGGCGAUUUUCUAGCUUAGACCUGACGCUGAGGCGCGAAAGCAAGGGGAGCAAACAGG